AAAAAGGUUUUGGCCCUAAACCAAAGGUUGCUGAGCCUCUUCCAUCCAUUGGGGAAGAUUUUGAGAAGCGAACACAAUCCGUAACUGCACAAUCAAAAUUGAAAGCUGAAGUUAGGUUCAAGGCUGAGGUUGUAUCACCAGCUGAAUGGGAACGGUGGAUAAGAGAUCAGCAGGAGUCUGAAGGAGUUCCAGUUGGUGAAGACGUGUACAUAAUACUGCGCUUAGAUGGGCGAGUUCGAAGGUCUGGUAAAGGUGUACCUGACUGGGAGCAAAUUGCGAAGGAGCUGCCGCCAAUCGAUGCAAUUUUAAGCAAGCUGGAAAGAUGACAAGUAGUAUUAUGUUGCCUGCUAUUCUUCUAGAAUUUUGAAGGGUGCAAUUUUAUUUUCUUUAUUACUUCACACAGCAAUAUUUAUCUGUACCACUAAACUAACAAUGUACAUUCAUUCCUCUACUAUCCCAACAUCCGAUACUUAUGCAAAGUAAAUGUUACAACUGAUAAUUUUCACAGUGGAAGGAAUAUUGCUUUAAGGCUGAUUUUACUGCA